GGAGGGAAGUCAGAAGGCAUUGGUGUGAAGUUACCAAAACGUUUAGAGUAAUACCCAGUCCUUGCAGAAGUUUCUGUAAAUCCAUAUUCCUGGGUAUAUAACAACUGACAGCAUCAGAGGUCACAUCUAAACAGGCCUCAGAAUAAUUGUAUUCAGUAAAACAAUUUCAACCAACAUGACAGACUCCGCUUUGCCAAUAGGAUUGCUCGCGACUUUUGUAAUAGCCUUCUGCAGAUCACAAGACAACACAACAUCUCAAACAGAGAAGUUUGAAGAAAACAAUGUUAUCUCAACAGCGCACUCUGCAUUGGAUCAAAACAAUUCUGAUUAUUCUUCUGCAAAUGCCAGCUUAAGCCAUUCAGAAAGAGUAACACCAUUUUUCAACAAAACAAAAGCAAUCGCCAAG